AUACGUAGGGGGCGAGCGUUGUCCGGAAUCAUUGGGCGUAAAGGGCGCGCAGGCGGCCGUCCAAGUCCGGUGUUAAAUGGUCGGGCUCAACCCGAUCAUGCGCUGGAAACUGGGCGGCUUGAGUCCCGUAGGGGAUGCCGGAAUUCCAGGUGUAGGGGUGAAAUCUGUAGAUAUCUGGAAGAACACCGAUGGCGAAGGCAGGCAUCUGGCCGGAGACUGACGCUGAGGCGCGAAGGCGCGGGGAGCGAACAGGUUUAGAUACCCUGGUAGUCCGCGCAGUAAACGAUGCGCACCAGGUGUCGGGCGGCAGCGCCCGGUACCGGAGCUAACGCGAUGAGUGCGCCGCCUGGGGAGUAUGCCCGCAAGGGUGAAACUCAAAUGAAUUGACGGGG
rnacentral:rRNA from 1 species